rnacentral:rRNA from 1 species
AAAACAUCUUCUCUUGUUGAUUAUUUGAGAUAAGGCCUGCCCAAUGAUUUAUUAAAUGGCCGCGGUAUUUUGACCGUGCAAAGGUAGCAUAAUCAUUAGCUUAGUAAUUUUAAGCUUGUAUGAAUGGUAAGACGAAACAUUAACUGUCUCUUAAUUAAAUUAGAAUUUAAAUUUUUAGUUAAAAUGCUUAAAUUUAUUUAUAGGACGAGAAGACCCUAUAGAUCUUUAUUUUAUUUGAUUUAAGAUUAUUUAGUUUAUUUAUUUUUUAUUUUGAAUAAAGUUUUGUUGGGGUGACAUGGAGAUAAAUUUAACUCAUUAUUUUAUUACACAUUAAUUUAUGAUUAUAUGACCUUAUUUUAAUGUUAAAAGAUUUAGAUACCUUAGGGAUAACAGCGUUAUUUUAUUUGAGAGUUCUUAUUGACAAUGAAGAUUGCGACCUCGAUGUUGGAUUAAGAUUAUAUUUUGGUGAAGAAGUUGAAAUAUAUAGGUCUGUUCGACCUUUAAAAUCUUACA